rnacentral:miRNA from 1 species
AACUUGUAUCUUGUGAGACAGAAGG